rnacentral:rRNA from 1 species
UUAUGAUCUUUAAAUUCAAAGAAUUUGGCGGUAAUUAAGUCUUUUUAGAGGAAUCUGUUUCGUAAUUGAUAAUCCACGAUUGAUUAUACUUUAAUUAUACUUGUAUAUCUCUGUUAUUGAAUGUAUUAUUAGAUUAAUUAUUUUCUUUUUUCUUUAUUUAUUUUAGAUUAAUAUCAGGUCAAGGUGCAGUUUAUAUUAAAGUGAAUAUGGAUUACAUUAUUAUUAUUUUGGAUUUUGAUUUGGAAUUAAUUUAAUGAAAUUGGAUUUAAAAGUAAUUUUGAAUAGAAAAUUUAUUUUGAUUAUAAGCUCUUAAUUAU